AAAUUGAGGAGUUUGAUGAUGGCUCAGAUUGAACGCUGGCGGCAGGACUAACACAUGCAAGUCGAACGGUAACAGGAAGCAGCUUGCUGCUUUGCUGACGAGUGGCGGACGGGUGAGUAAUGUCUGGGAAACUGCCCGAUGGAGGGGGAUAACUACAGGAAACGGUAGCUAAUACCGCAUAACGUCGCAAGACCAAAGAGGGGGACCUUCG
rnacentral:rRNA from 1 species